rfam:Schistosoma margrebowiei strain Zambia genome assembly, scaffold: SMRZ_contig0000427
GCACUGCUGAGGAGUCCCGUGGUAGGACGAAACGGACGUCCAGUGC